rnacentral:rRNA from 1 species
AUUGAACGCUGGCGGCAUGCUUUACACAUGCAAGUCGAACGGCAGCACGGGCUUCGGCCUGGUGGCGAGUGGCGAACGGGUGAGUAAUGCAUCGGAACGUACCGUGUAGUGGGGGAUAACGUAGCGAAAGUUACGCUAAUACCGCAUACGCCCCGAGGGGGAAAGUGGGGGACCGCAAGGCCUCACGCUAUAUGAGCGGCCGAUGUCGGAUUAGCUAGUUGGUGGGGUAAAGGCCUACCAAGGCGACGAUCCGUAGCGGGUCUGAGAGGAUGAUCCGCCACACUGGGACUGAGACACGGCCCAGACUCCUACGGGAGGCAGCAGUGGGGAAUUUUGGACAAUGGGGGCAACCCUGAUCCAGCCAUGCCGCGUGAGUGAAGAAGGCCUUCGGUUGUAAGACUCUUUCCAGACGGAAAGAAAUACGCAUCUUCUAAUACAGGUGUGGAUGACGGUACCGUAAGAAGAAGCACCGGCUAACUACGUGCCAGCAGCCGCGGUAA